GUGAAUCAUCAAAUUUUUGAACGCAAAUUGAACUCUCCUCGGAGAGUAUGCCUGUUUGAGGGUCAGUCUAUAAAAAUCGACAUAGUUGCUGUUUCGCGGUGGCGUUCGUCGGAAAUUGGGUCAUCUUAAAUAUUUUUGAUGUAAGCGACUUAAAAUUUUCUUUUGGUUGCAUGAGCGUUUAUAAGAUCUAUUUCCUUACACGUUGAGGGUAUCGAUUUUUACUAGACGUGAUCAGCAUAUUGGAUCGCGUCC
rnacentral:misc_RNA from 1 species